rnacentral:rRNA from 1 species
GACGAACGCUGGCGGCGUGCCUAACACAUGCAAGUCGAACGGGGUGAUUUGCUUCGGUAAAUCACUUAGUGGCGAACGGGUGAGUAACGCGUGAGGAACCUGCCCUUUCAGUGGGGGACAACAGUUGGAAACGACUGCUAAUACCGCAUAACGCAGCGAGACCGCAUGGUCUUACUGCCAAAGCUUUAUGUGCUGAAAGAUGGACUCGCGUCCAAUUAGAUAGUUGGUGGGGUAACGGCCCACCAAGUCGACGAUUGGUAGCCGGACUGAGAGGUUGAACGGCCACAUUGGGACUGAGACACGGCCCAGACUCCUACGGGAGGCAGCAGUGGGGAAUAUUGCGCAAUGGGGGAAACCCUGACGCAGCAACGCCGCGUGCAGGAAGAAGGUCUUCGGAUUGUAAACUGUUGUCGCAAGGGAAGAAGACAGUGACGGUACCUUGUAGAGAAAGUCACGGCUAACUACGUG